rnacentral:rRNA from 1 species
GAUGAACGCUGGCGGCGUGCUUAACACAUGCAAGUCGAACGAAGCUGCUUAAAGGAAGUCUUCGGAUGGAAUUUAGGUAGACUUAGUGGCGGACGGGUGAGUAGCGCGUGGAUAACCUGCCUUAUACAGGGGGAUAACGGAGAGAAAUUUCCGCUAACACCGCAUAAGACCACAGCACCGCAUGGUGCAGGGGUAAAAUAUUUAUAGGUAUAAGAUGGAUCCGCGUCCGAUUAGCUAGUUGGUGAGGUAAAGGCCCACCAAGGCGACGAUCGGUAGCCGGCCUGAGAGGGUGAACGGCCACAUUGGGACUGAGACACGGCCCAAACUCCUACGGGAGGCAGCAGUGGGGAAUAUUGGACAAUGGGGGAAACCCUGAUCCAGCGACGCCGCGUGAGUGAAGAAGUAUUUCGGUAUGUAAAGCUCUAUCAGCAGGGAAGAAAAUGACGGUACCUGACUAAGAAGCCCCGGCUAACUACGUGCCAGCAGCCGCGGUAAUACGUAGGGGGCAAGCGUUAUCCGGAUUUACUGGGUGUAAAGGGAGCGCAGACGGCAAUGCAAGUCUGAAGUGAAAGGCGUGGGCUCAACCCAUGAACUGCUUUUGGAAACUGUAUAGCUUGAGUGUCGGAGGGGUAAGCGGAAUUCCUAGUGUAGCGGUGAAAUGCGUAGAUCUUAGGGAGGAACACCGAGGGGGAAGGGGGCUUACUGGACACAACUGAUUUUAGGCUCGAGGCGGUGGGAGAUACAGGUUAAUACCCCAUGUCCAAGGGCAAUUCCCAUUGGAUGUG